AGAGUUUGAUCAUGGCUCAGAGUGAACGCUGGCGGCGUGCUUAACACAUGCAAGUCGAACGAGAACGGCUCUAGUUUACUAGAGUGUCAGCUAAGUGGCGCACGGGUGAGUAAUAUAUAGGUAAUGUGCCUUAGAGGAGGGAAUAAUUGUUGGAAACGACUUGUAAUGCCCUAUAUGCCCUUAAUACAUAAGUAUGCAGGGGAAAUAUUUAUAGCUCUAAGAUCAGCCUGUACGGUAUCAGCUUGUUGGUGAGGUAAUGGCUCACCAAGGCUAUGACAUCUAACUGGUCUGAGAGGAUGAUCAGUCACACUGGAACUGAGACACGGUCCAGACUCCUUCGGGAGGCAGCAGUGGGGAAUAUUGCACAAUGGACGAAAGUCUGAUGCAGCAACGCCGCGUGGAGGAUGACACAUUUAGGUGCGUAAACUCCUUUUAUAUACCAAGAUGAUGACG
rnacentral:rRNA from 1 species